rnacentral:rRNA from 1 species
CAGUCGCCACGGUAAAUCGUAGGUGGCAAGCGUUGUCCGGAAUUAUUGGGCGUAAAGGGCUCGCAGGCGGUUUCUUAAGUCUGAUGUGAAAGCCCCCGGCUCAACCGGGGAGGGUCAUUGGAAACUGGGAAACUUGAGUGCAGAAGAGGAGAGUGGAAUUCCACGUGUAGCGGUGAAAUGCGUAGAGAUGUGGAGGAACACCAGUGGCGAAGGCGACUCUCUGGUCUGUAACUGACGCUGAGGAGCGAAAGCGUGGGGAGCGAACAGGAUUAGAUACCCGCGUAGUCCCUGUCUCUUAUAA